GACAGAGGGUGGCAAACGUUGUUCGGAAUUACUGGGCAUAAAGGAGCACGUAGGUGGUUCGCUAAGUCACGUGUGAAAUCCCCCGGGCUCAACCGGGGAAUUGCGCGUGAUACUGACGAACUAGAGGCGGGUGAGGGGUGAGCGGAACUCCAGGUGGAGCGGUGAAAUGCGUAGAUAUCUGGAGGAACACCGGUGGCGAAAGCGGCUCACUGGACCCGAUCUGACACUGAGGUGCGAAAGCUAGGUGAGCAAACGGG
rnacentral:rRNA from 1 species